ACACCGCUCAGGCCGGGGUUCCUUCAACAAAGAAACCAUCGGCUUGGUCUUGGGCCGGAGGGAACAAACACCCUCCGCCUGCAAUCCAGUGGCAAACAUCCGGCGUGGCAAGAGCGUGAUAAACGUGUCAAAAUCGCUAUUGACGACCGGAAUGUUUGGCCGUAACCCCCACAUUUGUAUUUUUCCA
rnacentral:misc_RNA from 1 species